rnacentral:rRNA from 1 species
AACCUGCCCAAUGAAAAGUUUAAUGGCCGCAGUAUUUUGACUGUGCAAAGGUAGCAUAAUCAUUAGUUUCUUAAUUAGAAACUGGAAUGAAAGGUUGGACGAGAAAAUAACUGUCUCUUUUUAAAUUAUUUAGAAUUUUAUUUUUAAGUUAAAAAGCUUAAAUAAAUUUGAUAGACGAGAAGACCCUAUAGAGUUUUAUAUAAUUAUUUUAAUAAUUUAGAUUGAAUUUUAAGAAUUUUAUUUAAUAUUAUAUUUAGUUGGGGUGAUUAAAAAAUUUAAUUAACUUUUUUUUUAUGUAUCCAUUAAUAUAUGAAUUUUUGAUCCAUAAUUUAUGAUUAAAAGAUUAAAUUACCUUAGGGAUAACAGCGUAAUUUCUUUUUAGAGUUCUAAUCGAUAAAGAAGAUUGCGACCUCGAUGUUGGAUUAAAAUAAAUUUUUGGUGUAGAAGCUAAAAAAUUAGGUCUGUUCGACCUUUAAAAUUUUACAUGAUCUGAGUUUAAACCGGUGUGAGCCAGGUUGGUUUCUAUCUUUAAAUUUAUAAAGUAUUUUAGUACGAAAGGACCAAAUAUUUGUAAUAUUUAU